GUUUUAUUAAGUUGAGCUUCUUCCAUGAAUAUCAUUGUAUAUAAACAAGUGAUAAAGUUUGCAGUUCAAAUAAAACACAUUAUACACAAACACAAGGCACAAACUGAAAGAUGGUAAUCCAAUUGUUUACAUACAAAAGCAUACCAAGCUGGAACCAGUAGUAACCUGUAUUCACUUAAGAAGCAGAAUGCAAUGAAGUUUGCAUCUCUGGUAACGCAUCCUCUUUAUCGACAGCAGGCUGACAGGCAUGCAUAAUAGUGCAUACAUCAUUUUUCUCCAGAAAAUGUUCCGCGUUAAUGAGGAUCACUGGUGCAUAUUCAAAGACCAUUUUCUUGCACUUAUUGGAAUAUUUUUCAGCAGAUCCACAUGCCUUCAAGAGAAUUGCAAGUAUGUCCAACUGAGUGUCAGGAUCUUUCAGCUUUGAUACUGUCUCUUCAACCACUUGAUGACACAAGUCACAGCCAUUUGGGGAGAACUUUUGAGAGAUGGAAACCACUUUCCGACAAAGGUCAACCUUUUGGCAUAUGUCGUCAGGUUUUAUAGUGGAGAUCUCUGAGAAGAAGAGAUGAGCAUAUUGAUCCACCAUGGCAGUGCACUCCUCCUUGUAUAUUGGCAUCUUCGAACAGGUCAUGAGAAGUACUUCAAGUAUUUUUGCCUGGGUCUGCUUAUUAGAAAGGUAAUCAAGCGCAGUAGCAGUAUAUUCUUCACACAAUGUGCAUAAUCCUUUAAUGUUGCUGACAUCUUUCAGAGGCUGAAGUUGUUUCUGUGCCUGUAGGUUACUUGUCCACAAUGCUGAAACAUCCUCGGUCUCUAUAAUAAGGAGGUCAGGGGCUGCUAAUUCUCUAGCUGUACAAUACACAGCACCGAGUAGGACAAGAAACAGGCAGACCUUGACAUCCAUGCUGGAAAAAAAUUUAGAGAGUAAAUGACAAAUAGAGAAAGUAGUACAAGGGUUCUUUCUUCAAGCAACAACAGCAGAUCUCCCCCUUUCUUGUAGGCAAUUAUUUUUUGGCUUAAUUGAGAAUUUCUAUUAGGAGUUGAUCUCCU
rnacentral:misc_RNA from 1 species